ensembl:lincRNA
AGCCACUGUGACCUCGCGCCUGGGCCUCACUGCCGCAGCUGGUGCCUCCGUGUGCCACAGGCGCCUCAGGCAGAAACCUCACAGAGGUGAUUUUGAUAUUUUCUGAAACAAUUAAACGAUCCUGUGCUUUUUCCCCCCAGAACGGAGAAAAAAAUGGCUCGUGCCAAAACAGUCGUGAACUCCAAGACUCACCCUCCCAAGUGCAUUCAGUGCGGGCAGUACCUGGACGACCCCGACCUCAAAUAUGGGCAGCACCCACCAGACGCGGUACGUGCAGCUCUCUUCCCAGCCUUCCUCUGCCCAUCCCUCGUCCCUCUGCUCACCGGCCCUGUGUCCUUCAGGUGGAUGAGCCACAGAUGCUGACAAAUGAGAAACUGUCCAUCUUUGACGCCAACGAGUCUGGCUUUGAGAGUUAUGAGGCGCUUCCCCAGCACAAACUGACCUGCUUCAGGUAAGUGCACUUUCGUGUGUGUGUGUGUAUUUCGUAGAAGGAGGCACUUCCCCAGAGGCGUCUACGGGCUCAAGAUUACGGUUUUUAGGGCCUGACCUGCAACAUGUCUUAAGCUAACACUUCGUGGAUAAGAGCCACCUUGGAGGGCUGGGCGCGGUGGCUCAUGCCUGUAAUCCUAGCACUUUGGGAGGCCGAGGUGAGCAGAUCACUUCAGGUCAGGAGUUGGAGACCAGCCUGGCCAACAUGGCGAAACCUACUGAAAAUACAAAAAGUAGCCAGGUGUGGUCGUACGCGACUGUAAUCCCAACUAACUCGAGAGGCUUAGGCAGGAGAAUUUCUUGAACUCUGGAGGCAGAGGUCGCAGUGAGCUGAGAUGGUACCACUGCACUCCAGCCUGGGCGACAGAGCAAAACUCCGUCUCAAAGAGCCACCGUGGAAAACACGGUGAAGGGACAGUAGAGCUUUGCUGAUUUUUGGUUUGGUUUUUGGGUUUUGACACUACACAUAGUACCCUCCAUUCUGCCACAUCCUGAGGGCCACACGCUCAGAUGAAGGCCUGCUCUGUGCUAGGUACCAGUGAUCUAGGUGUCGAUGUAGCUGCUCAGACCCUGCCUUCACGGAGCCAAAAAUGGAUGAUACCUGUCGG